GACGAACGCUGGCGGCGUGCUUAACACAUGCAAGUCGAACGGAAAGGCCCUGCUUUUGUGGGGUGCUCGAGUGGCGAACGGGUGAGUAACACGUGAGUAACCUGCCCUUGACUUUGGGAUAACUUCGGGAAACUGGGGCUAAUACCGGAUAGGAGCUCCUGCUGCAUGGUGGGGGUUGGAAAGUUUCGGCGGUUGGGGAUGGACUCGCGGCUUAUCAGCUUGUUGGUGGGGUAGUGGCUUACCAAGGCUUUGACGGGUAGCCGGCCUGAGAGGGUGACCGGCCACAUUGGGACUGAGAUACGGCCCAGACUCCUACGGGAGGCAGCAGUGGGGAAUAUUGCACAAUGGGCGGAAGCCUGAUGCAGCAACGCCGCGUGCAGGAUGACGGCCUUCGGGUUGUAAACCGCUUUCGCCUGUGACGAAGCGUGAGUGACGGUAAUGGGUAAAGAAGCACCGGCUAACUACGUG
rnacentral:rRNA from 1 species